rnacentral:rRNA from 1 species
UACGUAGGGGGCAAGCGUUGUUCGGAAUUACUGGGCGUAAAGGGCGCGUAGGCGGCACGGCAAGUCAGGAGUGAAAGCCCGGGGCUCAACCCCGGAAUGUCUUUUGAAACUGCCGAGCUAGAGUGCGGAAGAGGCAACUGGAAUUCCCAGUGUAGCGGUGAAAUGCGUAGAUAUUGGGAAGAACACCUGAGGCGAAGGCGGGUUGCUGGGCCGACACUGACGCUGAGGCGCGAAAGCCAGGGGAGCGAACAGG